rnacentral:rRNA from 1 species
UUCCAUGUGAACAGCAGUUGAACAUGGGUCAGUCGGCCCUAAGGAAUAGGGGAAACCCGUUCCGAACCGGGGUGUUUGAAAGAAAGUAAAUUUGGUCAGCAGCCCCGAGCGACCGAAAGGGAAUCGGGUUAAUAUUCCCGAACCCGGACACGGAGAUCGAUCCUUUUGGGGUCAAGUGCGGCAACGCAAACGAACUCGGAGACGUCGGCGGGAGUCCCGGAAAGAGUUGUCUUUUCUUUGUAAGGGACGGACUCCCUGGAAUCGGCUCGCCCGGAGAUAGGGAUGUUGUUCCCGUAAAGCACCGCGGCUCUUGCGGUGUCCGGUGCGCUCCCGCUGGCCCUUGAAAAUCCGAGGGAGAUGGUGUGAUUUUCGUGCCGGACCGUACCCAUAUCCGCAGCAGGUCUCCAAGGUGAACAGCCUCUAGUCGAUAGAACA